AUGCUUAUCUAUACUGUACUCAGGCCUGUAGUUCGGUUGUUCCAUUCAUCUGUUUUCCACUCUGUGUCUAAAAAGGGACCAAGGCCUGGUCAGAAAAACGAGGCCGUCCGCCGGAAGCACCAUGUCCUCCCCCAAGGCCUGUCUGAACCGGUCCUUCUCCCCCCCUACCCCCUGAUACACCCCUCCCUCUAUCUGAGCCGGUCCUCCUCCCCCCUACCCCCUGUGCCCCCCUUUCUUCCUGCUCACAAGGGCCUUGAGGACAGUGAGCUGAAUAAGACAGUGGAUACACUGGUGGCCACUUUGGAGGAUGAGGAGGACAACAUGGCACAGUCCAUGUCUGGGUCAGACACAUGCGCACCCACACGCGCAUGCAAACGCACAUACAGCAGAAACAAGCGUAAGUCAAUAUGGCCGCCCAGGGACAUGGACAAGAGACCACAACCAUGGGCGGAGCCACACCCGUUCGCCGACGAGGUCCAAGAGGUGCAACAACCUAGGAAAGACGUCAAUGAACCACAGACACUGACUGGGCAGACAGAGAAGACCAAGGGGGAGAAGGCACUACUGGGGGCCACCAGAGUAGGCCCUGCUCAGCCCAGCUCCAGCCUUGCCUGGCCUCCCUCCCUCCCCUCAGCCCAGACGGUGGUGGUGUCCCCCCUGAGUCGUCCGGAGGGCCCCUGGCCCCGGGCUCUGACCCUUGAGGGGGCUGGAUCAGACAGGGGAGCCCUGGUCCAGAGACUGGCUGGACUGGAGAAGGAGGCUCAGAGGCUGAGGAGGAUACUGGGGUCCACUGCACUCCCAGCGACGCCAGACAACAUGGUGAUGACAGAGGCUCCCUCUGGGGAUAAGGCAGCUGCUGGGGUGGGGGUGGAGACACCGGUGGCCAUGGUAACCAAACUGGACCAAAUGGAGGUAAGUAGGUUUAACUGUGAAUUUCCUAAAGGUCUGAUUGUUUUACAAGAUUAGGGAAAUCAAAAGACGUACUCUCCCCAUUAGGAUACAUGAAGAACAUUAUAAAAUGGUUAUUUCCAAGCCUUCUUAUUGGUUUAAACUUGUAUUCUAGCUGUACAUUUUUCUGAAUUUAAACUUUUAUAGAGAACUCUAUCCCAUUCCCUCUCGUUUCUCUACAGUGUGAGAGCUCCGUGUCCCCCAGUGGCCCUGGGGUUCCAGGGCUGGUUGUGGAUGGCAUCCAGCCCCAGAGAGAACAGCCUGAGCUGGGCAGACUGAGGAGGGAGAAGGCUGACCCCCAGAGCAGGCUGAGACAGACUGACAGCCCAGUGACCAGGGACCAGAGCUCCCGGUGUGUUUACCCACACAGAGACAGAAACACACACAGAAAGACAGAAAUACACACACAAUCCAUCGGCUCUCUAGCUUUGCAUUCUCUUUAACUUUCUACUCUCUGUAUUCCCCAGCAUUGUGCUGGAGAAUCUCCACAAAAUCCGAGGGAACGUGGUGGCUCUGCUGUCAGCCAUCCUACCCCACCUGGACCUGCAGGGCAUCAGCCUGGACACGCCAGACGUAGACAGCAUCCUGCAGCAGAUCAUAGAUGCCAACUCACUGUCUCCACUCUAGAACCCACUCUCAGUGCUCUAGAACCCACUCUCGGUGCUCUAGAAACUCACUCUCGGUGCUCUAGGAACUCACUCUCAGUGCUCUAGGAACUCACUCUCAGUGCUCUAGGAACUCACUCUCAGUGCUCUAGGAACUCACUCUCAGUGCUCUAGGAACUCACUCUCAGUGCUCUAGGAACUCACUCUCAGUGCUCUAGGAACUCACUCUCUGACCGCUAGAAACUCACUCUCUGACCGCUAGAAACACACUCUGCAUUAGUACUUAUUCUCACCAGUCUACAGUCGUGGCCAAAAGUUGAGAAUGACACACAUUUAUUUUCACAAAGUCUGCUGCCUCAUUUUGUAUGAUGGCAAUUUGCAUAUACUCCAGAAUGUUAUGAAGAGUGAUCAGAUGAUUUGCAAUUAAUUGCAAAGUCCUUCUUUGACAUGCAAAUGAACUGAAUCCCCCAAAAACAUUUCCACUGCAUUUCAGCCCUGCCAGAAAAGGACCAGCUGACAUCAUGUCAGUGACUAUCUCGUUAACACAGGUGUGAGUUGUUCUUCCUCUGUCAUUGUUCUUCCUCUGUCAACCAUGGUAACCUGCAAGGAAACACGUGCCGUCAUAAUUUCUUUGCACAAAAAGGGCUUCACAGGCAAGGAUAUUGCUGCCAGUAAGAUUGCACCUAAAUCAACCGUUUAUCUGAUCAUCAAGAACUUCAAGGAGAGCGGUUCAAUUGUUGUGAAGGGCGCCCAAGAAAGUCCAGCAAGCGCCAGGUCCGUCUCCUAAAGUUGAUUCAGCUGCGGGAUCAGGGCACCACCAGUACAGAGCUUGCUCAGGAAUGGCAGCAGGCAGGUGUGAGUGCAUCUGUACGCACAGUGAGGCAAAGACUUUUGGAGGAUGGCCUGGUGUCAAGAAGGGCAGCAAAGAAGCCACUUCUCUUCAGGAAAAACAUCAGGGACAGACUGAUAUUCUGCAAAAGGUACAGGGAUUGGACUGCUGAGGACUGGGGUAAAGUCAUUUUCUUUGAUGAAUCCCCUUUCCGAUUGUUUGGGGCAUCCAGAAAAAAGCUUGUCCGGAGAUGACAAGGUGAGCGCUACCAUCAGACCUGUGUCAUGCCAACGGUAAUGCAUCCUGAGACUAUUCAUGUGUGGGGUUGCAUCUCAGCCAAGGGUUACCACAAUUUUGCCUAAGAACACAGCCAUGAAUAAAGAAUGGUACCAACACACCCUCUGAGAGCAACUUCUCCCAACCAUCCAAGAACAGUUUGGUGACGAACAAUGCCUUUUCCAGCAUGAUGGAGCACCUUGCCAUAAGGCAAAAGUGAUAACUAAGUGGCUUGGGGAGCAAAACAUAGAUAUUUUUGGUCCGUGGCCAGGAAACUCCCCAGAACUUAAUCCCAUUGAGAAUUUGUGGUCAAUCCUCAAGAGGCGGGUGAUUAUGCAUUGAUUAUGCAAGAAUGGGCUGCCAUCAGUCAGGAUGUGGCCCAGAAGUGAAUUGACAGCAUGCCAGGGCAGAUUGCAGAGGUCUUGAAAAAGAAGGGUCAACACUGAAAAUAUUGACUCUUUGCAUCAAAUUCAUGUAAUUGUCAAUAAAAGCCUUUGACACUUAUGAAACUUAUGAGAUUUAUGCUUGUAAUUAUACUUCAGUAUUCCAUAGUAACAUCUGACAAAAAUAUCUAAAGACACUGAGGCAGCAGACUUUGAAUUAAUAUUUGUAAUUCUCAAAACUUUUGGCCACGGACAGUACUGUAGGUAACAUGUUGAAUCUUUGCUCAUACCAACCUGGAACCCCUGUCUAUGGUGCAAUGUCCACAGCACAUUAUCCACACACUGACUUACAUUGUAACGGAUGACCCUCCAAUAGCCCUACUGACUGUCACAUUGUAAAUACUUUAUCUCCAGUUGACCCUGCCACAGUUCAGAUGUGUACUGUACUCACUGAGUGUGAGAUGUUGUUGAAAAGUUGUAAUACUGUCCUCCGAUCAGCUUACUAUGCUGUAAGUUUUACCUUCAUCAUAUGGGAAGGAUCCAUAUUGGUAAGCAGCGGUCUCUGCUUCAAUUAUCCUUGUGUCAUUCAGAGACCAUGGCUUGUGUGAGAGAAGCAUAUUACUGUGUGUGUUUAAUCAUUGAUUUUGUUUUUAAUAUGUUUAAUUGUUUUGUCAUUUUAAUAUCUGAAUGUGCCAUGAAAAAUUCAAAAUACUGUAAGCCUGAACUUAACCAGCCCUGUCGUUACAAUGUUUUACUGUUUCUUUGCUUGGAUAUCUUUUUUAAAGAAAAUCAAUCAGAUAUCAGAAUUGUGUGAUCUUUUGUCUGACUUGAGUGGAACAUGCAACAUUUUUGUUCUAAACACCUUACCCCUCUUGUCUGAAGCAAGUUGUCAAGUGUGUUUGAAUUCCAUCAAUGAAAAGUAGCUCACAAGUUCAUCAAAUUCUGCAGUAGACAAUAUUGACCACAAGGAGGCAGAGUGGCCAUCAUUUUUACUCUCUUUUACUGUGAGGAGCUCUGAAACAGACAUGUUUAACUUCACCAUUCCCAACUCACCAGUGAUGAUUUUAGAAUGUAAAUCUUGUUGGGGCAAAAUAAACCAAGUGGGCUGCAUGCCAGGAAUGCCACUAAACAAUACAUUAAUUGCACUAUAACGGUGACCGGUGAGGCCCACAAACUAUUAGGACAGCUUUACGUAGGCCCUAACAGCAGAAUCCCAGCAGUAGUCCCAACACCUUACCACUGUCUUGUCUGGCAAAUGAAGCAGUUCAUUCAGCCUCAUUUACUGCCUUUAAAUAAACAGCUGAUAUGACUGACUCGCUUAAACAAAUAUGGUUUCUACUGGCAAUUGAGAUGUACAAGCUAUGGCAUAAGGGGACGACAAGCGGAUAAGAGGCAAUCCAUAAUUUCGAUUAAAACAUUAAUGAGCGAGCUAGGACUGACGUCAAUAUAACUAUUUGUUCAGCACUUUUGAUAUGUACAGUGGCAGAAUUCAGAACAUGGACCGUUCUUAGUGUUCUCCCUGUACACCAAGUCAGAACAGUAGGAUAAAUAAAGGGGGCAUAUAAGCAGACAAUGAAACUAUUACAAUAUUCGAUGAUUACAUUUCUCAAAAACAGGUUAAAUGCUACAUGUGCACCACCAAGUCAGGACAGUAAGUGAAAUUAAGAGGUGAAACUAGUCCAAAUUAUUAGGGUGAGGCACAUGGGCUACUAACAGUUUACUGCACAACAUACACUUAGUAUUACUUUCUUAGCUAUAGUAUACAUAUCUCCCUGGCAUCCUUUAUGCAGCAGCAUACAAUACCUUUUUGGACUCGCCUUGUUGUGCUGUGCUCACUUUAAUUUUAAACUUGGAAAAGAGACCCUUAAUCUUAGACUUGGGACCACACAGCCACUCCACUGAAUAGCAUGCUAAUGAUUGCUUUGCAAUGCUUGCAGUUAGCCACUGAUUCCUUCCAAACCACGGAAUUUGCAAUUUCCAACUUGUGUAAUGUUUAUGUCCAUUGGCCGAUGAGCAUUGAUACGUUUUAUCUAUAAUUUCUCUUCGUACGAUAAGGAUUAAAAACAAUUUGCCAAUCGAUUGUCGACUUGAUUCAUGAUGAUGUCUGCAAGCUAAUAUUUUGAAAGUAUGAUGUCCAAGAUAAAAUUAUGUAAAAUCAUG
rnacentral:lncRNA from 1 species